CCUACGGGCGGCAGCAGUCGAGAAUCAUUCACAAUGGGGGAAACCCUGAUGGUGCGACGCCGCGUGGGGGAAUGAAGGUCUUCGGAUUGUAAACCCCUCUCAUGUGGGAGCAAAUUAAAAAGAUAGUACCACAAGAGGAAGAGACGGCUAACUCUGUGCCAGCAGCCGCGGUAAUACAGAGGUCUCAAGCGUUGUUCGGAAUCACUGGGCGUAACGCGUGCGUAGGCUGUUUCGUAAGUCGUGUGUGAAAGGCGCGGGCUCAACCCGCGGACGGCACAUGAUACUGCGAGACUAGAGUAAUGGAGGGGGAACCGGAAUUCUCGGUGUAGCAGUGAAAUGCGUAGAUAUCGAGAGGAACACUCGUGGCGAAGGCGGGUUCCUGGACAUUAACUGACGCUGAGGCACGAAGGCCAGGGGAGCGAAAGGGAUUAGAUACCCUAGUAGUC
rnacentral:rRNA from 1 species